GACGAACGCUGGCGGCGCGCCUAACACAUGCAGGUCGAACGAGCGAGAGAGAGCUUGCUUUCUCGAGCGAGUGGCGAACGGGUGAGUAACGCGUGAGGAACCUGCCUCAAAGAGGGGGACAACAGUUGGAAACGACUGCUAAUACCGCAUAAGCCCACGGUGCCGCAUGGCACAGAGGGAAAAGGAGCAAUCCGCUUUGAGAUGGCCUCGCGUCCGAUUAGCUAGUUGGUGAGGUAAUGGCCCACCAAGGCGACGAUCGGUAGCCGGACUGAGAGGUUGAACGGCCACAUUGGGACUAAGACACGGACCAGACUCCUACGGGAGGCAGCAGUGGGGGAUAUUGCACGAUGGGGGGAGACCUGAUGCAGCGACGCCGCGUGGAGGAAGAAGGUCUUCGGAAUGUAAACUCCUGUUGUUGGGGAAGAUAAUGACGGUACCCAACAAAGAAGUAACGGCUAACUACGUA
rnacentral:rRNA from 1 species